rnacentral:rRNA from 1 species
UACGAAGGGGGCUAGCGUUGCUCGGAAUCACUGGGCGUAAAGGGCGCGUAGGCGGAUCUUUAAGUCAGGGGUGAAAGCCUGAGGCUCAACCUCAGAAUUGCCUUUGAUACUGAAGAUCUUGAGACCGGAAGAGGUUAGUGGAACUGCGAGUGUAGAGGUGAAAUUCGUAGAUAUUCGCAAGAACACCAGUGGCGAAGGCGGCUAACUGGUCCGGUUCUGACGCUGAGGCACGAAAGCGUGGGGAGCAAACAGG